UUCACCUAUUUAAAUUGAACUUCUGUUCAUGAAAAUAAAUAGAUAGUCAGCAACUUAACCCUGUUGCCCAAAACUAACGUUAUAAAGCAGCCAGCUAGCUUCAUUUGGCUAGUGAGGCUCGACCGCACUGGGUUGUGUUGUGACGCUAGCCACAUUAGUGGAAUUUGAGGUUUGUCUUCAAAAUAAAAGUAAUUGACAGUAAUGCAAAUGAAUACAAAUAAAUAAAAGUAUGGCAUAAUUAUACUAAGGCUAACCGCAAAGUCCACUAUUGCGGCUCAUCCUUAUUGUUGCUAGCUUCACAUAGAUAUCCAGCCACCAUUAAUCAAAUAAGAACUCUUAGAUACUGAAACCGAUGUCAUAUCUUUUUUUGACACGCAAAGACCCAAACGGCAUUCCAUAGAAAUGCUGGUUGAGAAUGAAACGACUAAACAAAAGCAAAUGGAAUAACUACACUGUUUGUAUUCGGCCAUUUUCCCAGUCACUUGCCAUGGUUAAAUGCUGUGGUACGCACUUUCAGUUCUGUGCGAAUGCUGCCAUCCAUCCAGUUUCUGGUUUGGGUAGGUUUUAAGUCACAGUGGGUACAAUAUCUCCUAUACACUUCCUGAUGAACUCAGUCAUGGUAAUCCGUGUAUCCGUCAAUGUUAUUCUCGGAGGCUACCCGGAACAUAUCCUAGUCCGCGUGAUCAAAACAAUCUUGAAGCAUGGAUUCCGAUUGUUGAAUAGACCAGUGUUGAAUAGACCUUAACACGGGUACUUCUUGCUUGAGUUUCUACCUAUAGGAAGGGAGGAGCAAAAUGGAGUCGUGAUCAGAUUUGCCGAAGAAUGUGUGGGGGAGGGCCUUGUAGGCCUUUCGAAAAGUUGAGUGACGGUGGUCCAAUGUUUUACCAGCGCGAAUAUUACAGUCAAUGGUCAAUGUGUUGGUCAAACUUGGGUAGCGUUUUCCUCAAAUUUGCUUUGUUAAAAUCACCCGCUACAAUAAAUAUAGUUUCCAGUUUGCAUAAAGUCCAGUGUAGUUCUUUUAGGACCAUUGUGGCAUCAGCUUGAGGGGGAAUAUAGAGGGCUGUGAUUAUGACAGAAGAGAAUUCUCUUGGGAGGUAAUACGGUCGGCAUUUGAUUGUAGUAUUCUAGGUCGGGUGAACAAAAGGACUUUAGUUUCUGUAUGUUAAUCACAAUCACACCAUGAGUGUUUGAUCAUGAAACAUACACCCCCACCUUUCUUCUUCCCGGAGAGUUCUUGAUUCCUGUCUUGAAGACCAGUAAUUAUUGGUUUCCCCUCAUUCAGGCAAUAGCAAAGGCUGUGCAUUAUCACUAGAUAGUAGUCAAAAUAAGCCCGUUCUCUCUCACCCUGAUCGAAGUUGAGUUUCUUGGAGUUGGAUCCCUCUCCCAGUCCCUCUAUGUCUACCAGGUCAGAGUUGACAUCAGAGUCAUUCAGAGCACUCAGAGUCACAUCUGCUGGAACACACAGGCAGGAAGAGCUAAGUAUUUUUCUUUAUCCCAUUGUUUGAAAUAUAAUAGACAGACUAAAUAUUCACAGUUAAACUAUUCAAUUUGAUCUGCAAGGACUUUUCUAAUUGCAUUGCACAUAUUUUGUUGAAAAAUAAUCCUUUCAAUAUUGAGAAAAAAAAAAAAAAAGGCUGAAGGUGGGACUGAUUAGAAAUCAUUGCCAUCUUGGCAAUGGCAACUACAAAAUGUAUUGAUUGAUUCCUUCCUUCAUCCAUCUCCCCUCACCUGCAGACUUCGGUUUCUUCAUGGUGGGAAUGGCCAGAGUCACAUUUCCCUGGACACCUGCCUUCAUGACAACCUGUGAGGUCGGCACAGCAAUGACAGUUGGGGUUGCCGUGGUGGCCAUGGUAACCGCAGUCUUCUUGGCGGUCUUUUUUGGGGAGUCGGUGGAAAUGGGCAUCCCAGUCUCGUCAUAGAGCUUCCUCUUCACUGUACUUUUAAUCUGGACCCUUUGGAAAGAGGAGACAAGAGCUACCUCUGAAAACAUCUCAUUGGUCACCCAGACGCGAAUGGAGCGAAGUAGAGACAUACAAGGGGCAAUGUUCGGUAUUUUCUUCACCACACAUUCUGCUGUGCUGAUAGAGGAUGUGCCUUUCAAUGAGGAAGACAUGCACAAUGAUCAAAACCCUCCACAUAUCAUCUACGACCUGUACAACCAAGUUGGCUAUAACUGUUUCAUCGCAGCGGGUAUCUACAUGCUGGUUGCAGCUCUCUUUCUGCCAGAUCAAACUGAACAAGCGCAAGGAGUCCAUGGUGCACUAAUACCACCUGCUGGACUGGGCAUGCUACUUCUGCAACACAGCAAAACACUGUCUGGAGAAGAAGAGUGGCUUUUUCCGUAAAUGUUCUAUACUGAGUCUGAAUGAAUGGUAGCCGUUGUUAUUGUCUGGCUGUGUCCUGAUUCUCCACACUUAUCCCAAAGUGUUCACUUGUAAACUCUCCAUCGUGGAUUUAAAAGCAUUGGGAUUGAGGUGGCAGGUAGCCUAGGAGUUAGAGCGUUGGGCCAGUAACCAAAAGGUUGGUAAAUCAAAUCCCUGAGUUGACAAGGUACAAAUCUGUUGUUCUGCCCCUGAACAAGGAAGUUAACCCACUGUUCCUAGGCAGUCAUUGUAAAUAAGAAUGUGUUCUUAACUGACUUGCCUAGUUAAAUAAAACAUCUAAGCAUUGGCUGGAGGGAGUAUCCACUGUUAUUAAAUCUAUGAGAGGGAGUGUGCAAGUGCACACUUUUGGAGAAUCAGGAGACUUUGUCUGUGUAUGAUUAACAAAUCCCUAACAUCCUGCUAUUAUUUAUCUAUGCAAAUUAAAUCACCAGAGUUGUAUUAUUUCCUAGCUAAUGUCUUCAGAACUGGGAAUGAUAACUACCCUGUUAAUUCGCUGUGCCUGUCUUCCCAUCAGGUAAAAAAACAAAAAUCUCUGUAGAAAUGUAUCAAAUGACAGUUGUAUUUGUUUGAAACCAGGUUGAGGCCUUAGCUUGUGUAGCAGAUGCAAGGAAGUUUUGUUAGUGUUUUAGAACUUAUACUGGCAGCUGUGGCUGUAUUGUUUUUUUAUAUGUUCUUGCCCAUUGUGCUGUUGUCCGUGUCCAAUAAUGUUUGUACUGUUUGUAAAUGCUGUUACCAUGCUUUGUUGUCACGUGUUGAUAUGCCUUGAUAUGAUGUCUUAGGUCUGUCUUUAUGUAGUGUUGUCUCUUUUGUCUUGUCGUGUUUUGUUUCAUUUAAAAAUAAAAUCCCAUCCCCCGUCCCCGCA